UCCGACUAGAGCUAGAGCUUUCUUAAUUUUCUAAACCUUUGUCCAGCUUGACUUUAAACUUCAAACUUGUCUCAGGCUUGGCACUGAUUUCCAUUAAACAAAAAUGAAAUUAAACGGAAACUUGUAUACGGGAUUUAUUCAGAGUGGCUUGUUGCUCUGCUGCUAAACAUGUAAUGUAUCGUAAAAGAUCUAAACUAAGCAGCUGCAACGCUAUAGUACCUCAGGCUGCACUGCAGAGGAGAAAUAUGCAAAAAAGAAUAGAGUAAGCCCCACUUUCAAGUUAAAUAGCUGCAAUUUAUUUGUGCCAAAUAUCAAAUUGCAAUUGGCUUCUGACUUUAAGCUCGUAAUUUUUUUGGCAUUUGACAAAUGCGCGCUACAUAGAUAAAGCGGAUUGCGGAGCUCGAGGGGAUGGGUAAGGAGCGGGUGGGGAGUGCUGGGAGGUGGGAUGAGACAUCUGAAUGCUUAUGCAGAUAGGUACGCAGUUGAUGUUGGAGCCAUUCGAGUCAAUGCCUGCGACUGCAUAUUGCACGUUUCAGAUAUUCGCAAAGAAUGCUGGAGUCGACGACACAUGCAUUGCCGUGGGAGCGAGGACACGAAGAUGCGACCAGGAGGAGGAGGAGCAGCACUUUAAGCGCUAAAUAAACAUGAAUCUGUGACACGAAAUGAGCUCGCCUUCCUGUCUGAGCCCCCAGCAAGCAGCAAGCAGCAAGCAGGAACCAGCAACCUCACCCUGGCAGCAGUCGCAGUCGCCCUCGCAGUAGUCCCUCGCCGCCUGUUUGCUUUUGUGCGGCAUUUGUGGCACGCCGAGCCUCACAUUACCUUUUGUGCGCCGGCAACACAUAAACGAGGACGCGCGUGUACAGGAAGUGCAUUAAAAGCGCAAGGCUUCAAGUGCAGCUGGCAGUGUGCGCGAUGCCGUGUGGACUUGCACAUGCCACGGCAUUCCUUCUCCUAAGCUCGCCAAGAUUACAAUGCGCUCAGCUUGCUCAGCUGCUCAACUGCUCUCGUAACGUCUGCCUACCCAGCUCUGCCCAGCCUGCCCAGCUCAGCCCAGCUCUGCCCAGCCUGCCCUGCCAGUGGGUAAUCAAGCCUCGCUCGUACAGACAUAAGAUGUUCCGUGAGCAUUUGUAACUGCUCUAAGAGUAAUAUACCGUUACAUACUAUUUACUACUGUAGUAAGUUUAAUACAAUUGUGCAAGCACUACGAUACUUGGCUAUAGCUGCAGCUUGCGCCUCAUCCCUCUACUCAGGCAUUAAAACCACCUCGACCUAUA